rnacentral:rRNA from 1 species
AACGCGAAGAACCUUACCUGGGCUCGAAAUGUAGUGGACCGGAGUAGAAAUAUUCCUUCUCAGCAAUGGGCCGCUAUAUAGGUGCUGCAUGGCUGUCGUCAGCUCGUGUCGUGAGAUGUUGGGUUAAGUCCCGCAACGAGCGCAACCCUUAUCCCCAGUUGCCAUCAUUUAGUUGGGCACUCUGGUGAAACCGCCUCGGAUAACGGGGAGGAAGGUGGGGAUGACGUCAAGUCCUCAUGGCCUUUAUGUCCAGGGCUACACACGUGCUACAAUGGCCGGUACAAACCGUCGCAAACCCGCGAGGGGGAGCUAAUCGGAAAAAGCCGGCCUCAGUUCGGAUUAGAGUCUGCAACUCGACUCUAUGAAGCUGGAAUCGCUAGUAAUCGCGGAUCAGAACGCCGCGGUGAAUACGUUCCCGGGCCUUGUA